rnacentral:rRNA from 1 species
UACAGAGGCCCCAAGCGUUACUGAGAAUCACUGGGUUUAAAGGGUGCGUAGGUGGCGCGUUAAGUCCGUUGUGAAAUCCCUGGGCUCAACCCAGGAAUUGCUUCGGAUACUGGCGUGCUUGAGGCCAGUAGGGGUCACUAGAACUGACGGUGGAGCGGUGAAAUGCGUAGAUAUCGUCAGGAAUGCCGGUGGUGAAGACGGGUGACUGGGCUGGUUCUGACACUGAGGCACGAAAGCGUGGGGAGCGAACGGG